UACGUAGGUGGCGAGCGUUGUCCGGAUUUACUGGGCGUAAAGAGCGCGCAGGCGGUCUUACAAGUCGCGUGUGAAAGCCCCCGGCUCAACUGGGGAGGGUCACGCGAUACUGUUCGACUCGAAGGCAGGAGAGGGUAGUGGAAUUCCCGGUGUAGUGGUGAAAUGCGUAGAUAUCGGGAGGAACACCAGUGGCGAAGGCGACUACCUGGCCUGUUCUUGACGCUGAGGCGCGAAAGCUAGGGUAGCAAACGGG
rnacentral:rRNA from 1 species